AAAUAUCUUUAAUGUACGAGAACAGAAUGCCAGAGGAUGUUCUGAAUAUAACAAAAGAGUGCAUGGCAUUCCGGAACCAAACGCCCCUCUUUUUCACUGUAUUCACACCCCUCUUUUUCACUUCCAACACUCCGUACCAUUCCAAUAAACUUGCGUGUGUGCGGUAUUUGCGGUGUGUGCGGUAUUUACGUUGUGUGCGAUAUUUGCGGUGUGUGCGGUAUUUGUGGUGUG